ACGAACGCUGGCGGCGUGCUUAACACAUGCAAGUCGAACGGAAAGGCCCUGCUUUUGUGGGGUGCUCGCGUGGCGAACGGGUGAGUAACACGUGAGUAACCUGCCCUUGACUUUGGGAUAACUUCAGGAAACUGGGGCUAAUACCGGAUAGGAGCUCCUGCUGCAUGGUGGGGGUUGGAAAGUUUCGGCGGUUGGGGAUGGACUCGCGGCUUAUCAGCUUGUUGGUGGGGUAGUGGCUUACCAAGGCUUUGACGGGUAGCCGGCCUGAGAGGGUGACCGGCCACAUUGGGACUGAGAUACGGCCCAGACUCCUACGGGAGGCAGCAGUGGGGAAUAUUGCACAAUGGGCGGAAGCCUGAUGCAGCAACGCCGCGUGCGGGAUGACGGCCUUCGGGUUGUAAACCGCUUUCGCCUGUGACGAAGCGUGAGUGACGGUAAUGGGUAAAGAAGCACCGGCUAACUACGUG
rnacentral:rRNA from 1 species